AUUGAAAAUUGAUGAAAAUGAUAUGAAACAGACAACUGAAGCAGUGAAGCUAAACCAGAAUAUCAUCAGCAAGAGUCCAAACAAAAUGAACACUGCAGAUGAUUCUACAUCACAAACAAACAGUGUUCAAAAGGGAUUAAGUUUGUGAUUACAUUUUUGCCCUGAAUCCCUGGGUAUAUAAGCGAUAUCUCCAUCACUUUCUCAAUUCCAGUAGUCUCCAUCGAUAUCAAUGCCUGUUGUUAGGCAAUUUCAAGCUUAUCCAUCACAAUCAGUCUGAACAAAAGCUUGCUCAAAACUUGAAGCAAGGUCACCAAGUUGCAGGCUCUCGCUCUCACACGAAGUAUCAAUAAGUUUCGUUUUAUUAGCUUAUUUGCCAGAUUUGGGGAAUAGUUUUCAGCAAGAAAAGAGAAAAGGAAGAAGGCAAAUCAGUUUCAUCUCCUAAUUCAAAAGAUUUAGAACAUCAAAUUAAGUUAUAGGUGUUCUUCAGAUUAAGUUUCAGAUCACAACCCUUGCCAAUGCAAUUGAAGAGAUGUUAGAUUGCUCAAAAGUCAUUGGUAGAAGACUCAUCGAAGCAGCUAAAAUAACAGCUGACCUAAGUGGGGCAAUAGCCCUCACCCGAUGAUAGAAUUUCCAUCACCUGAAGCUUUAAAACAUCGGACCCACCAAAAGUUGGCAAAGGUAAUGACAAGGAUUCAUCUGAAAAAUUGGAAAAGGAGUGACAGUGGUAGAGAAACUGAGAACAAAACUGCAGCUCAUCAAACCUAUCCAGCACGAACUUUGAAGCACCCAAGUGGCCAAGUAUGUGCAACAUAAAAAAAGUUACGCUAGAAGAACAUAGAAUGGUUUCAAACAGGCUCUAUAGGUCGGUGAAAAAGUUCACACAGAGGAACAUUCUAAGGAUUUACCCCAAAGAAACUUAAAGUUGCCUCCUCAAAUUACCAACCACAUAUUGAAUGGAUGCAUGGAGCUCAAAUGGUUGUGUCUAAUGUGCAGGGAUGUGAUAACUCACGAUGGUUCAUGCAUGGGAUGUUUAGAGCCAAUGAUGAGGCCCUGCCUUCUUUAUGCACAAGGGCUCAAAUGAUGAGAUUUUUUAUCCUAAAAAGACCUUGGUAGUGACAAAGACAUUGAAGGUGAAAGCAUUUAUGGCCAAUGGAUGUCACUUGGAUUUUAAUCAAACCCCCUUUGAUUCGUUCUCCCCACAGACUUCUACACAAAAGUUAGUAAGAGCUCUGAUCACGUCAUAUGCAACUGGUUGUUUAUAGCUCAGCUGAAAUUUCGGAGGACUUAUCAUUUGUUGCAAAUGACGAAUCAAACUUUGUACAUAAACACCUACUGUUGUGAGGAUAUAAUAUAUAAUGUAACAAUGUAAUAUAACAAUGUUUCUAAAUUUAGUAGUUACGAUAUAAUAUAUAAUUUAACAAUGUAAUAUAACAAUGUUUCUAAAUUCAGUAGCAUCGAAUCAAACAAUAUUCCCGCAGCAUCGCGCGGGUGCAUUUUCUA